rnacentral:rRNA from 1 species
GAUGAACGCUGGCGGCGUGCCUAAUACAUGCAAGUCGAGCGAACAGAUGAGGAGCUUGCUCCUCUGACGUUAUCGGCGGACGGGAGCGUAACACGUGGAUAACCUACCUCUAAGACUGGGAUAACUUCGGGAAACCGGAGCUAAUACCGGAUAAUAUAUUGAACCGCAUUGUUCCAUAGUUAGAGACGGUUUUGCUUUCACUUAUAGCUUGACAAGCGCCGCAUUCAUUAGUUGGUAAGGUAGAGGCUUAACAAGGCAACGAUGCUUAGCCGACCCAAAAGGGUGAUCGGCCAGCUGGGAACUGAGACACGUCCCAGACUCCUACGGGAGGAAGCAGUAGGGAAUCUUACGCGAUGGGCGAGUGCCGGAUGGAGCAACGCGGCGUGAGUGAUGAAGGUCUUCGGAUCGGAAAAUUCUGUUAGUAGUGAGGAACAAAUGUGUAAGUAACCAUGCACGUCUUGACAGUACCUAAUCAGAAAGCCACGGCUAACUACGUG